rnacentral:lncRNA from 1 species
CCCUUCUUAAAUUCAUAAACAAUUUUAACUUAAGGUGCAGAAAGUACAACACACUCAUAUGUAUUAUUGCAUAUGAUGUGUUCGUAAUAACCCUUUAUUCAAACAUUACAUGGAAUUAAAGAAUAAAAUUAAAAUAGCAAGUACAUUAAACUCCAAAUUAAAUUAAACCUCAGCCACAACUAUGUCAUACUCCUCUCGAUCAUUGAGAACCCAUUUUCCAUCUUCUUGCUGAACCAUUCCUUUGUUCUUCACAGUCCACCAAUUUGCUGGGACAAGAUACUCACUUUUCAAUGCACCUGAAUAUUUGUUAACAAGCGCGAUAUCGCGAUCCACCUCUAGUUUAAAACCUGUGAAAAGUCCUAUACCUUGAGUUCCCGCAACUCCAUGCAUGUAACACUCUAAAUUAUGCCAUGUGAUGAUAUCUCCAGGGAGAUUUAAAUAAGGGGAUUUUGUGGUGUCGAUUAUUAUUUCCUGCCCAACGUCGGAAUAUCCAAUAGGUGGGCAUUUCGGAACAAGAUCCAAUAUGUUAUGAAUUCUCAUAACGUGAAGGUGUUUUAAUUUGUUAAAUGCGUUAACAAAAUUGAGAUCUCCAACUUUAGGACUUGCAAAUACAAAAGCUGUCACUGGAAAUUCCUUCCCAUUACUUGACUUGUUUAUUUUAUUGUAAGCUAUGUCAACUGCAUUCAGAGUCGCUAGGGAUGCACCUAGGCUAUGUCCAGUCACAGUUAUGCUCACCUCUUCAUUCUUAUAUUCCUCGACCAAUCUCUUCACUUCUUCAAGGACCUAUACGUAACGUACUUUUUAAUUAAAUGGCAUUAAAUCAAAAUAUAUGUACGAAUUCAAGGUCAAAAUUAUAUAUACCUGAUCUCUAGCACUUGUUUUAUUAAACUUUGAUCGUGCACUUUCUGAUGUAUAAACGCUGUAGAAGCCAUUAUGCACCAAUGGUUUGGACAAAGGAAGUAAACCCUCAUCACCAAACACUUUUGGUCCUGGAAUUGGUAAAAAUUGAAGGUCUUUAACCCACUCCAGUGCUUGAACUGUUCCUCUCCAAGCAAUCACAAUAUCCCUCCUUCCUAGUGAAACUUUACCCUCAUCAGUAGCCACAGCAACAUAUCCCAUAAAAUUUGAUUCCGUAAUGACAGUAUCAGGAAAUGGCAUGAAUAUAUGAGUAAAUAAUAAAUUUGAUUGAGUUCUUUUUAAUGAUAGUCAUAAAUGAUGUGCUAAAUGGUCUGAAAUUUAAGUAAGUACAAGUGUACAACAUUUAAAUAGCCCUUCUUAAAAACAUAAACAAGUUUAACUUAAGAUGCAGAAAGUACAACUUAAUUACAACACACUCAUAUGUAUUAUUGCAUAUGAUGUGUUCGUAAUAACCCUUUAUUCAAACAUUACAUGGAAUUAAAGAAUAAAAUUAAAAUAGCAAGUACAUUAAACUCCAAAUUAAAUUAAACCUCAGCCACAACUAUGUCAUACUCCUCUCGAUCAUUGAGAACCCAUUUUCCAUCUUCUUGCUGAACCAUUCCUUUGUUCUUCACAGUCCACCAAUUUGCUGGGACAAGAUACUCACUUUUCAAUGCACCUGAAUAUUUGUUAACAAGCGCGAUAUUGCGAUCCACCUCUAGUUUAAAACCUGUUAAAAGUCCUAUACCUUGAGUUCCCGCAACUCCGUGCAUGUAACACUCCAAAUUAUGCCAUGUGAUGAUAUCUCCAGGGAGAUUUAAAUAAGGGGAUUUUGUGGUGUCGAUUAUUAUUUCCUGCCCAACGUCGGAAAAUCCAAUAGGUGGGCAUUUCGGAACAAGAUCCAAUAUGUUAUGAAUUCUCAUAACGUGAAGGUGUUUUAAUUUGUUAAAUGCGUUAACAAAAUUGAGAUCUCCAACUUUAGGACUUGCAAAUACAAAAGCUGUCACUGGAAAUUCCUUCCCAUUACUUGACUUGUUUAUUUUAUUGUAAGCUAUGUCAACUGCAUUCAGAGUCGCUAGGGAUGCACCUAGGCUAUGUCCAGUCACAGUUAUGCUCACCUCUUCAUUCUUAUAUUCCUCGACCAAUCUCUUCACUUCUUCAAGGACCUAUACGUAACGUACUUUUUAAUUAAAUGGCAUUAAAUCAAAAUAUAUGUACGAAUUCAAGGUCAAAAUUAUAUAUACCUGAUCUCUAGCACUUGUUUUAUUAAACUUUGAUCGUGCACUUUCUGAUGUAUAAACGCUGUAGAAGCCAUUAUGCACCAAUGGUUUGGACAAAGGAAGUAAACCCUCAUCACCAAACACUUUUGGUCCUGGAAUUGGUAAAAAUUGAAGGUCUUUAACCCACUCCAGUGCUUGAACUGUUCCUCUCCAAGCAAUCACAAUAUCCCUCCUUCCUAGUGAAACUUUACCCUCAUCAGUAGCCACAGCAACAUAUCCCAUAAAAUUUGAUUCCGUAAUGACAGUAUCAGGAAAUGGCAUGGAUGAAGUAGCAUAGAAAUAUUUGGUUACGCGAUACUUCGAUGCAUCAAGGCCAACAUUAGAAAAAAGAUUUUCCAUCGAGUAUCUACUUGCUCCAGCAUAUUUUGAUGCUUUUUCUGAAAUGAAAGUGUCAUAAGUUACAUGAGCUAAUUCUCCAUAUUGAAUGAUAUAUUUACGUAGAUCAACAUCCAAGGGGUUUAAUAACCCUUCCCAAUUGUUUUUCCCACUAAGUUCCUCCCAUUUCUCAGCCAUGCUAGACAUUUUUUUUUUCUUUUUGUUACUCUUAGUUUUUUCUUGGUAUGUGAAGUACAUUAAGCCCAUGAAUUUAUAGGGAAGCAACUUCGUUGAUCUCUAAGGUUUUUCCAUUUUCAUGCAUGAAAUAUGUUUUGAUUUUAAUUUUUUUUAUUUUUGUGAAUUAUUGUCAUAGUCCAGUAAUAAAUGAAUUAACCAAGAAAGCAUUAAAACUAGUACUAGUAGGACUAAUAAUAAUGACUUCCAUAUUGAAUUUCUGAACUACUACCACCAUUAACAUUUUGCUGUUUGGCCAUAUGAAGAACAUUUUAGCAUAUUUGAAAUAAUAUAUAGAUAGUAUUAACUUCAAACUUCAAAUAUAGAAUUAAAUUGCAUCAAGUUUUAACUUGCAAAACUUCAACUCGGUCUAGGGUUAUGGUGGAGUGGUAAGUAAUUAGGUUUCCGGUUCGAGUCCUCUAGGUACGAAGUCGCCUUUUGUUAGGGAGCGCUUUACCUGACAUGGGACUUCCUAGCACGAAUUUAGAUUUAGUCGGACUCCGGUGAAAAAAAAGAAGCUCGAUCUGUUUUAAUGUCCAAAUUGAACAAACUUUUAACUUAAAAUCAACUUAAUUUACUUCGAGUGUUAACUUUGAUAAUUUCAACCAAAUUAUGUACAGACACUUUAUCCUUAGUUUGAAUUUGUAGAGGGGAAAAGUAAGUUCCAAAAUACCUACUAUUUAAUUUCAUCACUUCAUUAAAUGACACUAAAAAUGGAGUCCCCAUAAACUCCAAAGUUUUAACAAACAACUAACCAAAGUACUAAUGCUGAUGAACAAUCCCUAGAACUUGAAAGUCAUUGUACCAAAACUCUACUAACGAUAAGUCUAAGAACAAGGGGUACAACCCCGAAACUAAACAACACCUUAAACAAAUUUCUGAGUCCGAAAAGAGCGGACUUAAACAAGAGAGAUCCAUGGCGGCCUGAAAGAACUGGCUCACCCUUGAAUACGGUCACACUCAAUAAUCACUUAGCUGAGGUCUAUCAAUAGAACAACAAACAGUCUUUCAACCUCAAUCACCAUUAGAUAUGAACGUAAUCAACACAAGUAGAUACACAUCACAAUUCAAUGGUCCUCUCACGGAACCCAAUUCAAUGGUCCUCUCAUGGAACCCAAAACCCAAAUUGUUAGUGUACCAAUUUGUGGUACCCGAUCCAAUGUUUAUGUCGGAACGUGGCAACCGAUCCCAUGUUUAUGCCGAAACAUGACAACUGAUCCAUUCAACAAACCACAAUCACAAUCACAAUGUAUAUUCUCACAAUCAUACAACAAGAGGUGAUUCAUGGCAUACAAUUAUUCAAUUAUCCUAAUUUACGAUUAGGGUGAUCAAUAAUGAAACUUUCGCAUACAUACAUGCAUUAUAAUGAGCAAUUACAAACAUAUAUCACACCAACAUGAAAUCACAACCAACACCUAUACAAGCUUGAUUACUCAUCUCUUUUCUUUUUUUGAAUUUUUUUAUUAUGUUAUUUCUUGGUCUCACUACAAGAAAAUAUACUUAUUGCUACGAAAUAUAAGCUAUGAAUUCAAAAAUCGUAGCUAUUACAUAGUAAUAGCCAAAAGAUUCAAAUUUCGUGGCUAAUUAAAAAUUCAUCAAAUUUCUUAGCCACAAAUAUUAAGUUUACAAAGCUAAAUCCUUGUAUUUGCUAUAAUCGCUAACAAUCAUGACAAUAAUUAUCUAAAUAGCUACAAUUUUAUUGCUAAAAUAAAAUUAUGUAGCUAAUUAUAACUUUUUUGCUACCCAAUAAAAAUAAUUGUAGCAAUAGCAACUCUUUAGCCAUAAUAAGUUAUUUGAAACAAAAUAUUGUGGCUAAAUAAAUAAUUUUGCUUCAAGUUAUAAAAAUAUGUGGCAAUAGUUAAAUGAUAUAGCCAUAGAGUUUUGCUAUAGUAAAAUUUCGUAACUAAUUACUAUUUUUUGCCACGAAUUUUAAUUUACCGUAGUAAUAAUAACAUUUUAGCCAUAAUAACUUAUUUGCAGAAAUAUUUGUAGCAAAACAAAUAAUUUAGCUUUAAGUUAUAAAAUAUUGUGGCAAUAAUUAAAUGAAAUAGACAUAGAUUUUCUUCUAUAAUAAAAAUUCAUAGCUGAUACUUAUUUUUUGCCACAAAUUUGAAUUUAUCAUAGUAAUACUAACCUUUCAGCCACAAUAACUUAUUUGAAGAAAAAAUUGUAGCUAAAUGUUUUUUUUUCAAGCUAUAAAAGUCGUGGGAUAUUAAAAAUAUAAUCAUAGAUUUUUUGCUAUAAUACAAUUUUAUAGUUAAUUACAAGUUUUUUUCACGAUCAUGUUGAAACUUAUUGAAGCAAUAGUAAUUUUUUAUACAUAGGAAGUAAUUUAAAAUAAAAUAUAAUAACUUAAUAAACAUUAUGUUUCGAGUAGCAAAAAAUUGUUACAAUAAUUAACUUAAUAGUUAAAAUUAUUUGUCAUGAAAAAAUGAUACAACUAUGUGAGUACAAUUGUGGUGAUACAUUUUAUCUAAUACAAGGUGAAACGUAAGUCUUGAGGUGCUUCAUCUUAUGUUGAGAAUUCAUUUUAUAUUACUCGGACCUCUUCUAUCGAACAUUAUAUUUAUCGAGCUAGGUUAUACGACUCGGACCUCUUCUAUCGAACAUUAUAUUUAUCGAGCUAUCUUAAUUAGAGAUGCCAAUCUUUCUAUCAAUUCAAUUUUACAAAAUCUUAAUUUGGAAGUUUUAAGUAUAAUUUAAAUAAAUAGAAGUUAUAAAAAAAAUAGAAGUUAUGUCUAAUUGAUUUGAUGUAAUUGUACUUUUUUUAUACAAAAAAAAAUGUAUAAUCAAUUUACAAAUCAUUAAAUAAUAUCAUAUUUUAUUCAAAUAUGCAAUAUGAAUUAUUCUUGAAUAUAGAUAGAUAAAUCAAUUGUUUGUUGAAUAUAAUUAAUACACAUAGGAAGCGAUAUUGAUAUUCAUUUUUUUUUAAUCUUCUGUUAUUGGCAAUUUUUAUUUAUUUCUUAUUUUAAUGUUAACUUCCUAAUCCAUAUAAUUUUUGUAUUUUCAAUUAAAACUACAAAACUACAAUACAAAAUUCACAUCUCUAUUUAAAUUAAAAUUGAAAUAACCAGACAAGUUGUCUAUUUUUUUCCUAUAAUAUUUUGAAUUCAUAUAAUUUUUAUAUUUUAUUCAAACUAAUAAUAGUAAUUCAAUAUUAAGAGUGGUUAUAAAUUUAACUAAACACUAUUCCCUCUAUUUCAUAUUAGUUGUCUAUUUUUUCCUUGACACGAUGCUAAGUAAUUCAAAAUAAAAAGAAUAUUUUUUACUACUUUACCCCAUAAUAUUUUUUAUCUGGAACUUCAUAAACAUGUUUACACUUUAAAAAAGAAUUAAUUGUAAGGGAUAUUGAAAAAAUUGUAAUUGAUUUUUAUCUUUAUUUCAUAAAUUGACAAUUAAUUAGAGAUAACUAUGAGUAGCUGAUCUCUUUACCAUCUUAUUGCGCGACACCUAACAUCAAAUAUCACCAAAAAAUCAUCAAACCUGACCACCUAUUUCACCAUCGAACUAAGGGGUCAAAUGGACGGGUUGAGUUGAAAUUAGAGAUAUUAAAAUAGGUUGAAAUAGAAAUUGGGUUGGGUCUUGACCCCCCCCCCCCCCCCCCACUNNNNNNGGCUUCCCCCCCCCCCCCCCCCCAAGUUUACUUUGGGCUCAAAUGGGUUGGGUUCAAAUGGGCUAAAAAUGAGUUGGGUCUUGACCUGUCCAAUUUGACCCAAUUAAUCUCAAUAUAUAAUUUUACAUAGUGAUAUUUAACUUUAAUAAUCACAAUUAGAAUUUCAGCUCAAGAUUUUUUUUAAAAAAAGUAACAAAUGGAUAGAUAAAUCUUAAAAGAUGUUAAAUAGAUAAUAAUUCAUACCUUUAAUAUAGGAACAUAUCUUAGUAAAGAGUUUUAAAACGGGUUGAAAUUGGAGAUUGAAUUGGGCUCAAUUGAGGAUUCUCUUAUAAUAGGUUAGGAUUGAAUGAGUUGAGAUUGAACCAAAUUCAAAUUAUCUUAAGCCCAACCCUUAAAAUUCUGGACGAAUUACCUAUGUUUGGGUUCAUUUUUGACACCCCAACAUCGAACACUCAACAAAACAAUUAUCAGCAUUUAUUUACAAAGAGCUUAGUCGAACAAUUGACAAAUUAAUGCUCGAUUAACCAUAACUAAUUCUGUGAAAAAUCUAGAGAUGGUGUUUUUAAGAGAGAAGAAAGGUCUAUAAAAAUACAUUAUAAGAUUGAAUUUUGUGCAAAAUUUAAUAACUUCUUACAAACAAGAAAAAGGUACGGAAGUGUUCUUAUUUCAUGUUCUCACAAUCAACAAAAAAGACAAAUAAAUUGAAUAAUCAAUGCAUUUGAAAAAAUUAAUGGUGGAAGUUGGAGUAGUAAAAAUUGAUCAAUUUUAGGUGUCUCGCUAAAAUCUUUUCCAAGCACUGAACCUAAUUAGUUGAACAACUUUGCAUAUCUUUGUUGUGAAUUUUGACCUCAAUAUUCUUUUAUGUUUUUUCUCUCAAAAAAAUUACCAUUAUAAAAAUUAAUUUGUGGUAAGACGAAAAAAUAGAGGAGGAGAAAUAUAAGAUGGCGUGAAGAUGAAGGGGUGGGGGGUCAGUGGCGGAUCCAGGAUUUUUGCUGAGGGGGUUCAAAGUAUAAAGAAGAUAACACAAGUGUGUGGUGAGCGUAGUAGCCCCUCGGCAUCCUCUUUGUAUAAGAAUCAUAAAUAUUUCAUUGGUUCAUAAAAGUAAAAUCUAAACUAAUCAAAGAUAUCAAGGACAAAGAUACAUUGAUAAGAAUUUUAGCGGAUCAACUGUAUUACAUAAAUUAAUUCCUAAAACGUGUGAAAAUUAAAUGAUGAAAAAGGGAGCGAGAUGGGGAAGAAAGAUAUUUACCUUAUCAUGCUAAAUCUAACAUACUUUAUUUUACCAUAUUAAACAUUUCUUUCUACUUUUAUCAUGCUCCAUCGAGGAUUCUUAAAAUUUCUUGUGUGUUUAUACUUUUAUUUUGUAAUGUUUUACUUUAGUUUUCACUUUUUAAAAAAUUAAAUUUGUAUCCAUUCAAUCACAUAUUACUAUGAAAAUCGUCAAGUUUCUCUAUAAAUGUGUAAGAAUAGAGUUACUAAUAUUAUAAUGCAUAUUCAAAAGAUAAAUGAAUAACAUCGUCAAUUUUUUUAGUUCAUAUAGUUCAAUUUACUAGGUUAGUCAUAAUUUGUAAAAAUGACAAAUAACGAAUAAAUCAAAUAAGUUUAAUUUUCAUCCCUCUAAAAUAGAAUUAAAAAUAUAAAAUAAUUUCAUGAAUUCUAUAAAUUAAUAUUUUUAAAAGGGUGUUAACGAUAUUUAAGUUUCUUCAUUAAAUUACAUCUAAUUUAUCAUUUAAAAAGUGAUGAUUUCUUUGAAGAAAUAUAUGAAGAGUAUUCAAGUAGUUCAGAAGAAUCUGAAUGAAUAGAGAAAUACAAGAAAGAGAAGAUUCUGUUCAAAUUUUAGAAACAGAAGAAGAUCAUCGAGGAUAUGCUUUGAAAGCCACCUUCGAUGGAGAAACUUUCAGAAAAAUCCAAGGAUUAAAAUUGAAUCUUAAAGUAGAAGAUAAUUUACUUAGCAGAAUGCAAAGAAUAUUUGCAAGAGAUAAAAUUUCUUAUCAUGAAUAUCAAGAAAUUGAAAAGGUAAUAGAAAUUACCCAAACAACAGAAAAACACAAAUUAAACCUGUUAACAAAAUCUAUGAUAGAUCAAAUUCUUAGGAAAAUCCCUGAAAAAAAGAGAAAGAAAAUGAAUUAUGUUCAUUUAGGAGGAAUCCAAAUAUUAGUCAAAUCGACUUUUAAAGAAGGAAUCAACUGUCCAAUAGUAAUAAACUUAUCAGAUGAAAGAUUUAUAAAUGCAAGAGAAGGAAAUCUUGGUAUAGUAGAGGGAAACCUAGCCUAUACAAAAUUCUUGUUUACAUAUUAUCCGAAAUAUUGUAUAUCACUCAAAGAUGCUGAUUUUAAUGACGCAUUGAGUUUACAUUUUCAAAUCAAAAGAAAUGAUUUAUUCAAAUCAGGUAAUCAUAUAAUGAGUAUAUAUUACCAAGCAUUAUACACAGUCACAAAUUCAAACUAUGGUAAAGUGUAUAAAAGUAAAGGAAUGAUCGAAAUAGAUCAAGAAUGUGCAGGAAUUGCGAGAAUAGUUGAAGCAGAAAUUCAACAAGCCCAAAUUCCAGAUGAAUAUGAAAUUCGAUUUGGAAAAACACAAGAAAUAGGAAGUACUAGUAAUCCUAGACUUUCAAUAGAAUAUGGAAGAAAUUCAAUAAGAGAAAGUAUAUCUAACAGAUAUUCAUUAAAAAUUGAAGCUCCAAAUAUAACAAAAAUAAAUGGAAGAAUUUUCAAUGGAACAGAAUGGAAAAAUCAAGAAAUCUAAUGGUAGUCUAAUAGAUGGAAUACCAAAAUACGAAGGAAAACAAUAUACUUACAAAACCUUUGAAGGUAAUAACUUUAGUUGUAAAAAUAUGGUAAAUAUACCUAUACAACUUGAUACUAUAAGAAUAACAGUACCCUGUUAUAUUACUAAUCACGAAAGUGAUCAAGAAUUAAUUCUAGGAAAUUUAUUCCUAAACAAAUUAGAAGACUAUAGCAUUGGAAAAAAUGGUAUAGAAAUGAUAUACAAAGGCGAAACUUGUUUCAUAAAAAAAAUAUAGAUGCCUAAAGAAACAAUUUUCAAAGUAUCGAUUUUCAUAGAAAUAACAUUCUAUGAUACAAAACUAACAACAUGCUGUCAGAUAGACAAUGGAUCUGAAGCAAGUUUAGCAAAGUCCUUUUUAAUAAAAAAUUGGGACAUGAAUAUGAAUAAUAUCUCAAUGAUAGGAAUCACAGGAGAUAAAGAAAAAUUAUCAAAAUCCAAAGAAAAGGUAGAAAUAAUUUUAGGAUCAAAGAUUGUUUCUAUAAAUACAUUGUUUGCCUAUGAUAAACUAGAAACGGAUUUAUUAUUGGGAAAUGAUUUUCUACAACAAUUUCAAGAUUAUCAUCAAACAAUAUACAUGAUAAGCUUAAAAAUUCCUUGUGGACACUUCAUAAAAGUUCCAAGAAAACAAAAUCCAUAUAAUUUGGAGAAAGAUAAUAAUGGAAAUUUAAAGAGAAAAUACUUAGAAAAUCUAAGAAAAAUUUCUUGUAAAUGCCUUAAUCUAGAAAAGAUAAAAGAAAAUUUACAAAAAUUAUACGGAGAAAAUCCAUUAGAAAAAUGGGAACAAUAUCAUGAAAGGGCAACAUUAACCUUAAAAGACCCUAGUAUAAUCAUUAGAGUCAAACCCAUGCUCUAUAACGAAGAUGACAAAAUUGAAUUUAAAAUUCAAAUUAAAGAAUUAACUCAAUCUAAAAAUUAAUAAGAAUGAGUAAAAGCCCUCACAGUAGCCCAGCAUUUAUGGUAAGAAAUCAUGCUGAAAUAAAAAGAGGAAAAGCUCGUAUGGUUAUAAACUAUAAAGAGCUAAACAAAAAUUGUAUCUUUACAAUAAAUUUGUGUAUUUAUUCUUUUAGCUUUUUUCUGGAUGUUAUGAGACAUACAGAGUUGACUAAGUCUAUUUUUCAGGAAACUUAUUCUCUAUCCUAGAGUGUCUCCUUUUUUGCUUUCUUUUUCGUAUUCUUCUCUGAAGUAUUUUGCCCAGAAGCCUGGUAAUUUUUGAUAGUAUUUUUCUAGAUAAGGUGUCAUUUCCUUACUACUAUCGAAUAUCUUGUAGUAAUAUUCUUCGAAUUCACAAGUAUAUUCUUGAAUAUAACUCAUUUUGCAAAUUUGUAAUUUUUCUAAUUGCUCUUUGGCAAUUGUUCUAAUUAUUUCUUUAUUUUCUUCUUAUAUAUAUAUAUAUAUAUAAUUUCUAUCUCAAUUUCUAGUUAAAUAUAAUUCAUCAUAUUUAAAAGAUUUUAGUUUCAGUUAGUAUAUGAAAGGAGUUACGUUGAAACAACAUGAAUAAUAGAUAUAAAAAUAAUAAAAAAUAAAAAUAAAAAGAAUGUGUCUAAUAAAUUUAAACAAAAACAAAUUAAAAAGAAGAAAUGGAAUAAAAUGAAAAAAUAAUGAAAAAGAAGAAGAAGGUCUAAGCCCAAAAGUUACAUUUUUCUAAGCAUUAAAAAAAAUAGGGGGAAAAUGUUACCCAAGGGAUUUGAACCCGUGACCUAGGGGAACGCACAUCUUGAACCACUUAUCCACUGAGCCAUGCCUGUACUUUGUUUACAAGGGGUUCAUUUUGAGUAUUACCACUAUUCUUCUUGGGAUAUCCACGAAGUUUAUUAAUUUCUAAAUCAACUUGAUUUUUAAAAUCAAAAGUGGUUUCCAUAUUAUCUGCAAAAUCAUCGGAUAAAUGAAGAGGUUUAGCUCCAAAUUUAGAAAAAGAUUUAUCAAGAAGUUUUUCUAAAUCAUAAAGUGGUUUAAAUACAAAAUCCUGAAUCUCAGGGGGUCUUUGCACAUGAGUAGAAAGUUCAGAAAGUGAUUUGGACGUAGAUGCUUGCUCAGAAGGUUUUAAUUCCUUUUUAAUUUGAAUUAUUAGCGCAGUUAAGUCAUCUAAUUUUUUAUCAAGAGAACUAAUAUGCUCUCCUAUGACUUUAACAUAAAGCCCCAAAUAAUUAUUUUGAGAGAUGAGGUUAUUAAUCUCAUUGAUACUUACCAUAGCAACAUCAUUUUCAAUAAACUUUUGAAAAGCAAUGAAAGUAAUACAUGUAUUAUUAGGUAGUAUAAAUGGUGCCUGAGGAGGAUAAAUAGCUUUAAUAAUAUUACAUGAUUCAUCUUUAUAGGAUCGUUCAAGAACAUUGAUGAAUAAAGGCAAAUAAGUGAUUAUAAACCAUGGUACGAAAAACAUAAUAUGAUUAUGUAAAGCACAAGUCUCAUGAAAUUCUUGAGAAAUAUUAUGCAAAUCCUCUGCACUAUAUGUGUUAAAAAACUAAGUUUUAAACUGGCUCCAUUUAUCACUUGCAAAUUCAUUUUGAAUAUAUUUUCUUGCCAGUGAACCUGGACUAAAAUCAAUUUGAUGUCCACUCAUCAUUAAUUAUCAUUAAGAUUAAAAUUCAUUUCGGAUGCAGAAGGAAUAUCCUUAUCAGAAAUAUUAGAUGAUUUAUCGUUUGUUCGAACAAUAUUUAAUCGAGGAUCAAUCAUGAUUUUAUCUUUAUUUUCAGACAUUUCGGAUGCAGAAGGAAUAUCCUUAUCAGAAAUAUCAGAUGAUUUAUCAUUUGCUUGAACAAUAUUUAAUCGAGGAUCAAUUUUAAUUUUAUUUUUAUCCGCAGAUAUAACAAAGGAUAGUGUAUGCAAAGAAGCAGCACGAUUUCGAGCUGGACCAUAAACAAGAUCAAUCGGCGAGAUGUGUUGGAUGGCAAGUAAUCUUCUAUCAGAAGAAAAUGAAUGUCUAUUAUAUGGAACAAUCUUGUCAUCAAACUGAAUGCAAAUCUUACCAUCAACAUUUUGAGUAAUAUGAGAAUAUUCAGUAUUAGUGACAACAUCAGCCAUCUGUUCUGGCGGUAUAACAAAAUCUAAAGUCCAAGUAGUAGGAAAAUUAAUCUCUUCCUAUUUUAUAGGUCUUCUAGUAGUGACCUUAUAUUUAGCAAAAUUAGUUUCAACUAAAAUGGUUUGAUCAGAUGUAUCAUAUAAUUUACAUCUUAGGUUUAACGUAGCAAGCAAUUUAUAAUAGAUUCUAUAAGAUAAACAAAUUAAUUCACCAGACGCAUAAUUAUAACCAUGCGUAUUAACAUUUAAAGAAAAAGCAUCAAGAAUAUUAGAAUCAGUAAAAUGUAACUGCAAAUUAGGUUGAGUAUUAAAAUAUACUCGGCCAUAAGCUACCGUGGAUUCUAUCGAACCCAUCAAAGAUUGUCGAAAAUUUAAAUUUCUAGCAUCACGAAGAGCAGCUAAGAAAGUUUCAGGUAACCCUUUAAGAGUUAGAGGAUUAAAAGCAAUUUGUACCAUGUCAAUAUGCAAGAAUUUAUAUUACGAUUUAUUUAAGUCAAUAUCGCGCUUAUUCAACAAACGAAUAGUUUGUUCAGACAAAUUUAACGCUAAAGAUUUCUCAGUAGUUUUUAUCAAUUGUUUAUUAGAGAUCUUAUCAAACCAACCAUAAUCAUAAAUGGUUUUUAUAUCAACUUUCGGAAUAGUCCAUUUGUUUAACAAAUCAAGGUUUUGAGGUAUAUCUACCUCUUCUAAUUUGGUACUUUUAGUACUAGUAUCUCCUAAAUCCAUGAUUAAGAGAAUAUAUCUAUGCCGAACUUCACAUCAAUUUCAUAUUACCAUGAAAGUUCCUAGGCUCUGAUAUCAACGUUACAGGAUCUCUGACCUGGCGGAUAUAUACCAUAUAGGAAUCACAAUAUCAAAAAAUUUAAUUCAAUGUGAUUAAUUCGAUAUCUAUUAUAUCAUACACAUCUACUUAUCUUAAUUAUUGAUAAUCAAAUUUAUUUUUGUUCACUUUUACUUCUCUGCUAUUUCAAAAAUAGUUCUUUACGACUUUUAACAUAUAAAGAAAAUACAAUUUUUUUUCCUCAUAUUUUAUCCUUAACGUUAAUUCCUUAUUCUUCAAGUUAUUUUUCAAAGCAUAAUAGAAAACAUCAAUUAAUAGAAAUAGUAUAGUAAAAUAGUCACGUCAAUCAUUAUUUUGUAUCAAGUCAUAUAUGACAAACAAAAACAAAUUUUAAAAAGUAUAAUAUUUAAUGUACUAUAAGAUUUAUACCUAACAAUUAUUACUCAUUAUAUUAAUUUAAUACAUCACUUUCAAACCAGCAAUCAAAGACCCCAAGUUAAUGGCUCAAAGGCCGUAUGAGGGAAGGUAGGAAAUAAAGCUACAACGAAUUUUCGUAUUUAUUGAGUUCUUGUCUUAGUCAGAAAGUUGUUAUUCCGAUUUUUUUAGAAAAUAAUUUAGUAGUAGUACCUAACUCAUAUAGAUUUAUUUUUUCCAUAGAAACUAGACACUUGUAUUAUUGCAUCAAAAAAUUAUAUAGUUUAAACUUUAAAUAUAUCCACAAUAUCAUGUACAAUUUAAUAUAGGAAAAAAUUCUUUCUAGAAAUUCCCUUCAGUGAAGAAAUAAAAAAGUACAAAUUAUGAAAGUGGUCAUUCGAUAUUUUGCUUUAUUAAAAAUUGAUCUAAUUAUCAAAAUUAUCGAAAUUGAACAAAUACGUUCUUCUUCUUCCUUCCAGUUUUGUCAUCAAUAACUUAUUUUCCUUUUUCUUCCUUCUUCAUUAUCAUCUUCUUGUAUUCUCCUUUUUUCUUUUUCUUUUUUAAUUCGACAUAUUAAAAACAAUGAAUCGUUUAGAGUGAACUAUAUAUGAUCAAAAGAUUCAAAAUAUUGAGAGUAUUUCAUAUAUAAUUUUGUUGGACUGUUUAGAGGUGAUUUUGAGUUGAUCAAUAUUGAAUAGUCAGUAUAUACUUUCUGAAUAGUCAAUGUAUGUUUCAUGUAUAGUUAAGUUAUAUUCAAUUUUUUGAAUGUAUCAUAAUAUACCGUCAGUGUAUAGCUCAUAUAUAGGUUAGCUAUAUUGUAUAGUUAGUGUAUAUUUUUUUAUGACUUUUGGCAAGAUAUGUUGUAUAAUUCAUGUAUACUUUUUAUGACUUUUGACUAUUUUUAUGAAAAUAAAAUAUGACUAUCUACAUUAUAAAACUAAUUACUUUAUUAUAUAUGUUUGAAACCAGUCCAAUAAAUUUUUUAGUUAAAUUAUAAGCUAUUUUAUUCAAACAUUAUAUAUAUAAAUCAAUACAAUCAAACAUGCUUGAAAGCAUCUAAAUAUUUUCACACAUCAAUGCUAUCUCCCAUUAAGAAUUUUCUUAAUAAUUACUUAUUUUGAAAGUAACUUUGCAACAACCAAUUUUUUCCAACGUAUUCCUGUAACAUCUCACAAUUAGAAAGAACUAGAAGGAAGUUUAAAAUUUGGAAAUAGUUAUUUUUGGAAAGUAUAAGGAAAUCUGGAAAAUUUUAAGUAAGUUAAAGUGCAUUGUCGGUCAACUUUAAACGACCAUAACUCCUAGAUCAUGAUGAAUUAGGUGUAGUUCCAGAUAUGGUUGGAAAGCUCUUGGAAUGAUCUUUCCAACGCCGCCAAGUUUACAUGAUUCCAAGUUCGUAUGAGUGAGUUAUUCUCUUUGGAAGUUGGGUUGUUCGAAUAAGGAAAUGCCCAAUCCAGAUUUUUGAAGGGUAGUUUGGUCUUUUCCUUACCCAAUUAAUUAAAUCCAUUUUUAAUAAAAUAAUUGGGGUCAAACUGAGUUAGUUCAGUUACACUUUUGAGAAAUAGAGUUAGGGCUUUUGGAGAAAAGAACGCAAGAGAAAAGAAGAGGAAAAGCAAGAUUCACCAAGAACGAUCGAUUUUGGUUGCGGAUUCGCCAGGGAAUUGACCUACAAGGUAUGCGAGUCUCUCAUAACGUUGGGUUCAUUCACCCACGCGCCAAACAUGUUUAGUUCAGCAAAAUUCGUCCUAAAAGAGUUUGUAAGUUGAUGUUCUUGACAUAAAUUCUUGAAUUUGAAUGUUGUUUUUGAAUUGGGAUGAAUUGAGAAGUUUCUGAGUUUGUUACCUCGCAUUAUAGAGUCGUUUCGAGUUAGAUUCUUAGGUACAUUUCCUGGGUAUCUGUAUCUAAAGGUAAUUUGAGAAAAAGAACCAAGGUUGUGUGAUUUGGGGCUGGAAAAUGAAGAAGAAAUUUUGUCCGACGAAAUUUGAGUAUGGGAGCGCGUCGCGCGACCUGUUCCCAGAAUUGAAAAAUUCUGCUCCGCUUCGCGAAGCUGACACGAGGUGUUCUGCCUCAAAAGACGUUUUCGGAACCAAAAGUUAAUUAUGCCUCCACGUCGCGGAUCCACCUUCAAAUCUUGAUUUUCGAUAUUUUCUCAUAUUUAGCUAUCUAAAAUCAUUCCUAAACAACAUGAGAUCUUUCCAAACACCAAUCAUAAUCUUGAAUCCAUAAUUCAAUUCAAGGAUCAGUUAAGAGUCAAGACAAAAGCACUUAAUCCCAAAGUCAAGAGAAGUCAAGAGUCAAGUAAGAGAAGUUCAUUUCAAGUUUUCAUAAGUCUUUUACAAACGUUCUAACUUUGUUUUAAGACUUAAGUUUUGAAGUUGAGUAAAGAGUAAGAGCAAAGUUCAUUUUCUUUAAAAUGAUAUACGGGAACUAAGUGUUUCCAAGAGUAAACGUUUUCACAUUUAAGAUGAGAGGAAACUGAGAUUUCCAAAAGAGUUUUGAACAGCAAAAGGGAACAUUGAUUCCAAAAUAGCUUUUUAAGCUAAGUUUGAGCAAUUAUCUCAAACCAGAGAAGAAGUUGUUUUAAAAACAUAUGAGCUAAGUAUAUUUUGGGAGUAGUAUUGAGCACCGAUAUGGGGACACGAGUUUAUAUUAACUCAAGCCCCCAAGGUCCUUGGCAACGUGAGGUAAAACGUUGUACCAUCACUUAGGCUCAUAGUGAUGGUUGUUGGUUAGACAAUCUCCCACAUAAGUUAUAUUACUUUCCAAAUGAGUAAAGUUAAGUUUGUUAUUGCUUUAUCUUUAACGAACUAAGAUUGUUUUCAGUUGUUUUAUAAGCUUUAUAUAUAUCUACCGCAUGUGUUUUAUUGCUUUAUAUUGAGUUGAGUAUCCAUGAGUUGAGAAGAGCCAGGUAGGUGUUUCUUCCAUAAUCUCUUUCGAGCCUAUGUUUGUUAGCAUUCCAACUCGCAUACUCAUACAUUCAAUAUACUGAUGCCAGUUGACCUGUAUUUUAUUAUGAUGUAGACACAGGUAACUAGGAUCAACAUCCAGCGUCUCGUUGAUCCAGCUUGAGCAUUCAGAGUCUAUUGGUGAUCCUCCUUGCAUUCAGGAGGACUCCUUAUUUGCUUUCUAGUCUUUCAGAUGUUAGGAUGAUCGGGGGUCAUGUCCCGACAUCCCUCUUUGUUUUAGAGGCUUCAUAGACAGUUAGUAGUUCAGUAGUCUUUCAUUAUCAUUCUUAUGUUAAAGACUUGGGUUGCCACUUUUGGCCAAGUUGAAUGUUUAAUCUUUAAAACAUUCUCAGUUAUUUUAUUAUUCAGUUCAAUUAAGUUCAUUGAUCAUUAUUGUUGACACCCAAUUUUGACCCUCCCGAUAAAAAUUAUUUUUUUAGCUUCUUAAUUUUUAAACGAUUUAGAAUAGCUAAUUUUAUGAAAUCCCAAAUAUUGUUCAAGUUAGUUUAAAGUAAUCUUGUCAUUUUAUAAUUUUUUGAAUAAUGUAUGUGUUUUACAUAAUUAUGUAUAUAUUAAUUAGUAUAUUUUAUGAACAUUCGAAAAUCGUCUCAAAAAUUUUGUCUAAUUAAAUAUUUGGUGAGUUUGUUUAAUUAUUUAAUAGUUUCUAAAUUUGAGUUGAUUAGUUUUGUUUUAUAUAUAGCCAAAUUAAUUAUUUUAUUUCAUUAAGACUAAGAAGCUCAUAAAUUAACUAUUAAUUCGUCUUAGUUUUGUAACGACUCAUUCGAUCAUUUUGAGUAUUAGAGCUUUUAUUGUAUAAAAUACUCUUCCGAUAGAUUUUAAAUGAGUGUUUUGGACUAUUCAUAACUACAAUUAUGAAAUUAGUGGAGUAGUUUUUAUAAUUAAGUUAGUUGGUAGUUAUAGAAGAUAGCAUUAAAAACAAAUAGUGGGCCACUUCUACCACCCCAUAAUUAGGCUUAAUAAUAAUUAGGGAUUUCCAUCGUGAGUUAGAAACUCAACAGAACUUCAACUACAGCGAUACAAAUUGCAGAGAGGCCGACGAGUACUUCAGGUAAAUCCAAUAUCCAAUAUGUAUUUGGUGAACCUGAACAAAGGUUUUAUGAUUAUUAUUAGAUUAUCGUUAUUAGACUAGAAUUUGAAGAGAACGAGUUUUCAGUGGUAGUGUUAGGUUGACAUCUGGUGAUUAAUGGCAAUAAGUGGUUGAAUUGUGAUUAAUUUCUGAGUGGUGACGUAAGGAAAUUAUGUAAUGCAAGAGUAGUAAUAUGGAUUUUUAUUGUCGUUAAACUGUAAGGGAAAUUGUGGGUAGUGAUUAUUGUUGCCUUGGGUUAAAUAAUUGGGUGAAAACUUCGGUGGAGACAAACUUGUCUCCCUGUUCAUUAUUUGAUUAAAUUAUUGUUAAGUACUAAAACAAUAGGUGGCAAAUUAUUAUCUAUUGAGAUUAGCAAGUGGAUUGCAGGCGAAAAGUUUAUAAACUUGAAUGGUCACUGUCAUGUUUUGAUAAUUUUGAAAUGGUUUUCGUGUGUUUGCUGACACUGGUAUCGUGACCAGUGGCUUCAGUUUUACCAUAUUAUAAACUUAAAUUUGAUAUAAUGAGAUGGAGGUAAUUAAAUAUAAGGUGUGGUAUAUUAUAUGAAUUACAUUAAAGUUAUGCUAAUGGGAGGAAUUAAGACUUACCCUUAGGUUUGAACUUUGGGAAGUUGAUUAUAGAAUUAGGUGAGUUUUUGGAUAUAGGAGGGACAUAGAAUAAUAUGAGUGUUUAUAGGCUUGUUAACUUACAAAUUAUGCCUAUAUACUUGAUAGAUUGGAAAGGUUCGGAGGCAUUGAGGAAAGGAAAGGCAUUGGAGAAGUAGCUUGCCUGACGUCAGUUCUUCGGUGGAGGUAGGUUAUGGUUUGUUCUAUUUGAUAGAUAAACUCUUAAUAGCGAUUAAUAUGCAUUGAAUGAUAUUGUGAAGUUCUCUAUGUACUUGACUGUGUGAUUAUGUGGCUUGGGUGUGUGGUUUGUGAUUGGUCUAAAAUCCUGAGACCGUGAGAUUUAUAAUCUGAAAACCUCUCUAUUGAAGUUAUGCCUUGAAUAAAGAGGGCUUGAUGUAAUAUUAUUAAUGAACAUGAAAAGUAGUGAUAAUAAAUGAUAAAUUAAUAAUAUUAUUGGAUCGGAGUGUCACGUUCCGACACGGUAUUUUUGGAUCGGAGUGCCACGUUCCGACACAGUAUUUUGGAUCGGAGUGUCACGUUUCGACACGGUAUUUUUGGAUCGAAGUGUCACGUUCUGACACGGUAUUAUUGAAUCGGAGUGUCACGUUCCGACACGGUAUAAUUGGAUCGGAGUGUCACGUUCCGACACGGUAACCUUAAGGAAAAAAUAUUGAAUUAACUUAAUGUACUCAAUCUCAAUGAACGCAUUUCCCAAAUGAGUGUGAUGUAGAGGCAUGAGUCCUCGUGUGUGUGCUUGAUAUUGUGAUUGAUUACGUACUUGUUUCAACUGUUACUUGUUCAUGUUGGGGUUUCUUAUCACCUGCUAAGUGCUAUAGUUGACUUUAUACUAUUAUUCAUUGUAUAUUAGUUUCUAUUUUGGGUUGACCGAUGAUACCUACUCAGUACGUGUUCCUUGUACUGACCCUUACUUAUGUUUUCUUCGUUUUUCUUUUGUGGAGUGCAGCAAGUGUACCAUCGACUUCGACUCGCCCUCAACUCUAGCCAGUCUCCAGCACAUCAGAUUUCAGGGUGAGCUGUUCCUUCUAGCUCGUGCUAGAUUCUCUCAGUUAUGGCGUGAUGUCCUUGAAUUUUGGACAUGGACCAUUGUAUUUACUUAUUUUGGGUUCUCUAAUACUUUUAGACUUGAUAUGUUAAUAACAGAUGUCCUUGAUGUGAUGACUUUCAGAUUUUGGGGAUAAUAUGUAAUAGACUUUAGAGGUUUAUUUGAUUGGUUACUUUAAUAAGUUUUGGAGCUUCCGCGUUAUUGUUGUUAGUCGUAGUUAAAUUAUUGGUAUAUGUUGGAGUUUAAAUUCCUUGGUCUGCCCACUUAGGAGGUGAAGUGUGGGUGCUACUCAUGACUCAAUUUGGGUCGUGACAAGUUUAAUUCUAGCCGAGUCAUCUAAAACUAAUUCUUUUGAUUACCUUCCAAAUCUUUAUGGAUAAAUUAUUAAUCUAUCACAAAUUCAGCUAAGUCAAACAUUUGCCUGCAUAUCACUAAAGAAUUGACUUUGGGCUCUUUUUGCCAAAGUUUCAACAGCCCACAGUUCCCUAUUCCCAUACAAUAUCAGCAAUUCCACCCCAAAUUCCAGCAGUGCCCAGCUGACCCAACCCAGUCCAAUUCCCCAACCCGAUCCAGCCCAUAUCUUCUAUUCACAAAAUGACCCAAAAGCUCCCAACGUUUUGAAAUCCCAAAGCUUCACGAUAACAGUAAGACCACGACGCCCCUCACAUCUCUAAUUUUCACGGCGAUACACGGUCCAACUCACGGAAAGACAACAACAGAGGGCAGUACUCUGUUUUCUUUGAUCUUUUCUCCAACGUCUCUCUCCAGCUUAGUCGCAGCAGCUGUUGUAGCAGCACGAAUCGUCCCUGCAUCCUUGAGAUGGAGCCACCUCGCUCGCCAAGGACGAUCGAUCAAUUCGAGGCGUCGAUUCGUCCCUUCCUCUUUCGGAAUGGGGCAAAAACUUCAGAAAAGGUGCCUCACCUAAAAUGGUGAAAGAUUUUUGGAAUUCAAAAUCGCUAAUUUCUCCUAUAUAAUCAUCUCUUCUAUUCAUUUGUAAGGGGGAUUUUUUUUUGGUUUCCAUUGAUACAGAGAACUAACCUAAAGGAAAAUAUAUAAAAAUACAUACGAAAUAGACACACAAAAUAGAGAGUCGAAAUUAAGCAGGAGUCGGUCUUCUUAAACCAUAUAAAUUUGGAGUCUAGAUUUGUGGUUUCUUUCCAGUAUUUUGCUCACCAAAGCUCAUCGGCAUUUGAUUCAAAGUGGUGGAAGCUUCUUCGUGUUUAGCUCGUCUUCCCGGUUCGCUGCCCCGAAAAAGGUAAUGUCUUCUCCUUUAUCAUACUCUCGUCGUCUCUUCUGCUAUUUCAAAGUGAUAUUUUGAUGUUAGAAAACCUUUAUGUUGUGGUUGUUUGCUGUUAGUUGACAUUGGGGUUGAUCACUAGUUUCGGACCUGCAGAUUACAUAUUUUCUGGCCUUACUUUGUUGUUAUUAUUGGUUGGUUUUUUCAUGUUUGAAGUAUGUAAUUUCUAUAGCGCUGGUUGCUAUCUCUCUAGUUGAGUAAGAAAGCAUGAUAUGUAUCUUUUUUAUUUCAUUUAGAGUUCAUUGUUGGUUAUGAAGAAAAUGGUUGUUUAUGCAUAUUACCUUUUUAUGAUAAGUUGAAUGCUUGUUUAUUGUGGGCUGUUUCUGGAAUUUUAGUUUUUCUUAACCUCAUGUCCUCCCAUUUUUGAGUUUGGUAAUAUCCAUUCACGCCAGGAGAAGUAUGCCUUGACCCGUUUGUUUUUCCUGUUGAUCACUAUUAUUAGAAUAUUUACUCUUUUAAUACUUACUGUUGGGAUUAUAGUUAGGCAUGCAUGGUCUAUUCAAAGCCAUUUAAUCAUUAUUUUUUUUAUUUUUUUUAUUUUAUAUAUUUUAUUUUAUUUUAUUUUUAUUAUUAUAUUUUUUAUUUUUUUUAUUUUAUUUUAUUUUUUAGUUGAAAAUCUUAGGAUAAGACAUUAAUUCAUUUGCUCUUAGUGGUUUAAGGUUGUUGAAAUAUCAUUUGUAUUGAUUUAAGUCCCUUUGUGAUACACCUUGUCUUCUUACAGUGUUUAAAUUGAAAUGUGGUAGUACAUAAGUUCAUAUUUACUUGGUACUUAUAUUACACCAUAAUUCCUUACUUACGAGUUUUCAUUUUUUAUUUUUAUGACAUCUGCCCGAGUUCACCAUGAACUCCCAUACUUUUCCUUGCAUUUCGAGAUAGGCCAUAAAGGCCCCAAUUCCUCCCUUCUCUCGACUCAGCCCCCAUGUCGAAUUGUGAAAUUGGCGUACAGGUUGAAGACGGUAUAUAAGGGUGGGGGGGGGGGUGAAAAUUGAAUUUUUAGAUUCCGGAAAGCUAAAAAAUGGGCUGAUAUACCCGCUGUAUACACUGGUAUACAGUCGGAAAAUACAGAAUACCGAUCCAAGACGUGAAAACUAGGGGUGCGCAUCGGUCGGUUCGGUUUGGUUUUAGGUGUUAUUGGUUCGGUUUAUCGGUUUUCGGUUUGUAAAUACAUCAAACCGAUAACCAAACCAAUAACAUAUUUCUUAUCGGUUUUUGGUUAAUCGGUUUAUGGUACUUAACAGUUCGGUUUUCGGUUUAACCAAUAAGAAAAUACUCAUAUAUAUUAUAUACACGAUAAGAUAAUUUUCAAAUAAACCAUAUGAUCUUUCCAGCAUUUGGCAUGAAAGUAAUAAUCAUAAAAGUAACAAUCAUUUUUCUUGCAAGUUUAGACACUAGAGACAUUCAAAGGAAAAAGUGUGAAAGUAACAAUCGUUUAACCAUUAACAAUAAGACUAGUAAAUUUAGUAUAGUCUUAUUGGGUUAUCGGUUUAACCAUUAACAAAAAUUAUAAAAUCGGAAACCGAACCAAUAACCCAAUAAAAAUUUUUUUGUCAAAACCGUUGAAAAACCAAUUAGCCCAAUAACCCAAUAUCAAUAAACCAAUAGUGUUUUUUUCGGUUCGAUUUAUUGGUUAAAUCGGUUUUUGCACACCCCUAGUGAAAACACAGGUGAAAAGUGCAGAAACACGAAGUUCGAAUGAAAUUACAGGUUCGGGAGUUCGAGAAUUAGAGAUAUACAUGGCGUUAGGGGUGUUCACAGUUUGGUUUGGGUCGGUUAUUGGUCAAAACCAAACCAAACCAACUUAAUCGGUUUUAAAAUUAUCAAAACCAAACCAAACCAAAUAUUAUAUACAUUUAUCAGUUUGGUUGUUUUCGAUUUUGGUUUGGUUUGGUUCAGUUAUUCGGUUAUUAACCAUACAUAAAAAUAAAAGAAACAAUCCAUUCAAAAACGUGAAAAAAGUGACAACAAUCCAUUCAAACAAAAAAAUAGUUAGAAUGACUGGCAUUAUAGAACUCUUGAUCACGAAUUUACUAAUUAAAACUUCAAAAUUCACUAUUUUGGCAUAGAAGGAAGAGACAAUGACUAUUUUUUAGUCCCACAAAGAAUUUUCAUAGACACUCAUAUACAUGAAACCAUUAAGAAAAAUGUUCUCACCUUUGGACUAUUUUUCUUUCAUAAGUAAAUUAUAAAUAAAUUUUGAUGAAACAUAUAUAAAAUCUUUAAAAAUUGUUUAUGAAUAUAAUAUAUUACGUAUGUAUAAUAAUAAAAUUUGUGUAUAUAACUUGUUGGUUCGGUUCGGUUAUUUCUUCGAUUUUUUUCUAACAAAAGCAUAAACAAACCAAAUACUAUAGGUUCUUAACAAUCUAAAACUAAACCAAACCAAAACCCAAAUUAAAUCGGUUCAUUUAAUCGAUUUGGUUUGAUUUUUCGAUUUUGAUCAAUUUUUAUCCAAACCAUGAACAACCCUACAUGGCGUAUACCUCAAAUAUACACUUUGUGUAUAUCAUGAUCAAGGAAGAUGGAAAAAGGGCCAAAGCCCAAAUGAAUUAUUACUUCUUCUUUUUUUGCAGAUUUGGAAAAUUUGGGCAAAAGCCCAAAUUCAAUAUAUCCCUCUUAAUUUAUUUGUUUAUCUAUUUGUUGAUUGACUAACGUUUUAUUUAUUUUUAUGGUUGAAUUAAUUAAUUCCCAAAGAUAGCCAUUUAGCUUUUAUAUAAAGAAAAAAAAACAUAAAUAGUUAUUUUAUACAUAUUCUUAUUACCUAGCUUCUAUUUUAAUUUUUGUAUCGUCAACACUUAGGUUACUCCCCUUUAGAAAACUUCCCCUUAGUUCCAUCCCCCUUAAGAUAAUUGUAUAACAAUAACAAUAAUAAUAAAAAUAAAAAAAUUAAAUGACAAUAAUAAAAUUAAAGUGAUGAAAAUAAUAAUAGUAAUAAAUAAAUAAGUUAAAAUAAAUGAGUUCAUUUACUUAGUUAAAAGUUUUAAAAAAUAAGUUAAAGUAAAUGAGUUUUUUUAUUUAGUUAAAGUUUUCAAAAAAAUAGUUAAAAUAAAAUGAGUUCUUUCACUUAGUUAAAAUUUCAAAAUUAUUCAAAGUCGUUAUGAGUCCUUUUGCUUAGUUAAAAUUUCAAAAUUAGUCAAAAUCAUUUUGGUCAAAUCGCCGGUCAACCGCGAGUUAGCGGGCAUUCCGAGGGCCUAACACCUUCUUGGAAUGUACAUUGAACUUCGAACCAUUUAUUUUCAAUUGGUUUUAUCUGUUUAAAUCUUUGGAAAACUUUAAAUUUUUUCUUGAUUUUUAUUAAAAAUUAAGUGGCGACUCUGUUCUUUUGGAAAUUCGAUUUCUCUUAAACCAUAAGUUUGAUCGAUUUUUUGAAAACUCAAUCAUUUUUCUUUUAUAAAUACUUUUAAAUAAAACAAUUAUAGAUAUGAAUAUUGUCUUCCGCUGAGUUAAGUAAGCCAGGGCAGGGGUUCGCUUGGUGCCAGCAAUGGUCUUUAAGUGCCAAUCCCUCUCAGGGUGUAGGCUGGGGGCGUGACAAUUCCAAUAUUUAUUAAGCCCUUAUCUCAUCCAAAAAGUUAUGUUUCGAUUCGUUAGAUGCUCAUGCUAUGGUAGUACCUAACUCGCAGAAGACUACAUUUUUAUUUCUUCAUAAAAGCUAGACACUUCGUAUAACUACAUCAAAAAGUUACAUAUUUUAAAUAUAUUAUAUUCAAUAACAUCAUGUAACAUUUAACCCGGGAAAACCUCUUCGAGGAGUUAGCAAAAAAUAAAGCAUACAAAUAUCCUCACACGUUACUUCUAUCUCCAAUCAAACUUUUCUUGGUAAUUUUCGAGCAAUUAAUUUUUUUCAACUUGUUUCUGUAUCUAUUGAACCCUUAUCUUAUCCAAAAAGAUAAUGUUUGAUAUUUUAGAAAGUAACUUGUGAGCCUUACUGGAUGGAUGUUCUUUCUAUUCAAUGCUAGUACGUCUAACUCACAAACGUCUAUUUUUUUUUUACUUUUCAAUUUAGUUUAAUUAUCUGAUUUUCAUUUAAACGAAGUUUUAAACUAUGAAAUAUUUUACUUUAAAGAGGCCGUUAGAAAUAAGGAGAAUUAAAAGAUUAAUAAGGAGGGAAUUUUUUACUCGAAAGAUUAUCGUCAAAGACAUUCUUUGUAAAAUAAAGAAAAAAUAAUAUUAUAUCAAAUCUCAUAAUAUAGAAAUAUUUUAAAAUCUUCUUCGUAAAUAUAUUACACUCCUACCACUUUAAUUUACAGCAAAUAGCCUAAGGAGUAUAAGAGAGAUCCACAAGUACCAAUUUAACUUUCUAUGUGCAUAAUAUUCUCAUUGGUAAAUUGUAUUUUAGUAGUCUUUAAUAAUAAUUUUAAAAUACUUGUAAGUUGUAAUGGUGUCGUCGUCAUUGAUAUUUUUAGCAUUUAUAAAAUAUUAGAGUGCAAAUCAUUAUUAAAAAAAUAAAGAUAAAAAUGUAACACAAAAAACACAUUGUAUGUUAAAUUACUCCAAUUUUUACGAUGUAGACAAGAGCGAGUGGGUUGUUACAAUAAUUUAGGUCAAGCUUUCACAUUUAGUGAGACAACGGAGCAAUCUUUGUCAACAAAUUAAAUACAAUCUCUAAAUAAACAUUGAUUGAAAACAUUGUUAAUUAAUCAUUAACAUAUACAUAGAAAAAAACAUUUUUUUCUCAACUUACAGUAACAUAAUAUAUACUCUACAAAUUUCAUUUUUAACAGAUGUGCAUUUAAUCAGGUCAUAUCAAGUAGAUUAACUAGCGCAAUAGGUAGAUUUUAUGAAAUGGAUAGUCUCCUCUUUGUUUGUUUUAAAAAUUCUCGAAGCAGAUAAGAAUGAAAUUAAUUUUACUAGAUGCCACUUUUAAAUUCGGAUAGUAUGGGUUAUGUUAGUAUGGAAUUAAUUUUACUGAAUGUUCUAUUCAAUGCUAGUACUGUCUAACUCGCAAACGUCUAUUUUCUUUUACUUUUUAAUUUAAUUUACUUAUCUGAUUUUGAUUUAAACAAAGUUUUAAAAUAUGAACUGUUUUACUUUAAAGAGGCCGUUAGAAAUAAGGACAAGCUAAGUUUGAGUUAAAAAAGUUAAUAAUGAGGGCAUUGUUGGCACGAAAUAAGAACAAACUUUGAAUUAAAAGAUUAAUAAAGAAAAUAAUAUUAUAUCAAAACUCAUAAUUUAGAAAUAUUUUAAAAUCUUCUUCGUAAAUAUAUUUCACUCUACCACUUUAAUUUACAACAAAUAGCCUAAGGAGUAUAAGAGAGAUCCACAAGUACCAAUUUAACUUUCUAUAUGUGCAUAAUAUUCUCAUUGGUAAAUUGUAUUUUAGUAGUCUUUAAUAAUAAUUUUAAAAUACUUGAAAGUUGUAAUGGUGUCGUCGUCAUUGAUAUUUUUAGCAUUUAUAAAAUAUUAGAGUGCAAAUCAUUAUUAAAAAAAUAAAGAUAAAAAUGUAACACAAAAAACACAUUGUAUGUUAAAUUACUCCAAUUUUUACGAUGUAGACAAGAGCGAGUGGGUUGUUACAAUAAUUUAGGUCAAGCUUUCACAUUUAGUGAGACAACGGAGCAAUCUUUGUCACCAAAUUAAAUAGAAUAUCUGAAUAAACAUUGAUUGAAAAUAUUGUUAAUUAAUCAUUAACAUAUACAUAGAAAAAAAACAUUUUUUCUCGACGUACAGUAACAUAAUAUAUACUCUACAAAUUUCAUUUUUAACAUGUCACAUGUGUGCAUUUAAUCGAGUCAUAUAAUGUAGAUUAACUAGCGUAGAUUUUAUGAAAUGGACAGUUCCCUCUAAAUUUAUUUUAAAAAUCAUCAAAGCAGAUAAGAAUGGAAUUAAUUUUACUAGAUGUCACUUUUAAAUUCGAAUAGUAUGGAUUAUGUUAGUAUGAAUUAUGAUGUUGAUGUAGUAGGUAAUUUAGGCGUUGGUCACUGAUCUUAGUAUGGAUGCAUAAUUAUAUCUAUAAAUAAAAUUUCCCUUUUCGACAAAAAAAAAAAGUCAUAACAAGUAUGUCGGUAGGCCCAGUUUGUAGAGUAAAUUUCUUAGAUAAUCACCCAUGGUUGGUGAUAAAAUUUGGAGCUCAAAUUAAAGUUUUUUUAAAAAUUUGAAAUUAAUAUUUAUCUAUAAAAUAUGAACAAAAUUCCAUUUCAUUAUAUUAUAUUACAAAGAAAAAUUCAUAAUUUAAACUUUGAAAAUGAAGACCCAUGCUUGACGUGAAGAGAUUGUUUAUACAAUAUGAGGGGAUUAUAUUAAAGAAUAACUAGUUAUCGAUAUUAUUGAUUUAUUGGAUCAAUGAAUCUUUGUAAAAUUAUGUCUAUUUUAAAAAUUCGUAAUAACAUGUAAUCGCAAACCUUUAUUUAUUAAGAAAACACAAAGAUAUACAAUUUAUUAAUGUGAUACCUUAGGAUAUCCGUUACCUUGUUAAUGAACUAUAUAUGAUUUGCCUGGUGAGAUUAUAAUAGUUUUGAUAAAUUGUGAGGAUUUUCAUAUUUAUGAAGAAAAAAUAUUAAUUAAAGAAUUCAAAUUGCAUGUCAAAUAAAAUUGAAGUUUUUGCAAGAACUUUCCCUGUUUUGGGUAGUCUAUAAAAAAAAUUGAUUCAAUUUUCUAGUAGAGCUUGGAUGUUGUAUUAAUCCCAAAAUUCAGCACCUACAUAUACAAGCAGGUGAAUAGUCUUUUUUUUGCCUCCAAAAUUAUAGCUGCAAAAUAGAAAUAUACCUAAUUAAAAUUAAGUUCCAACAAAUAGCAUCUAGUAGCCUUUAAUUGUCAUCCUUAAAUAUAAAUAAUAGUUUCAAUUUUUGUCUAUGUUGGUCGUUUUAUAAAGAAAUUACAGCCAAAUUACUCUUAUAUAUGACAUAAUUUUGCAAGACAAAAAACUUUUGUCUACCUUACAUAAAUUGUACAGCAUCUAAUUUGCAAGACACAAUUUAAACUGACAAAAACUUUGUAGGAAUAAACUAUUACUUGAUCUUAAGACAACUUUAUAGGUUUCAAAAUUGAAUGAAUACUUUUAUCAAAAGUAAGUUUUACAUGAACUAAGUUAUAUCUUAUAUAACAUAAUUUGUAGGCUACGAGCCUUUUAGGGUAUAACAUUCUAUUAUAAUAAGUUUUAUAAAUAUGACAUAAGUUGCAACUUAUGAACGUUCUAAAACUAGCCUUAUGCCUUUGUCGUCGUAAAGAUCUAAGUUUAUCCUUUUUAAAUCUUUCUACCAACCCUUUUUUUUAUUGUUGUUUAGCUUAUUAUAGUUAACCAACUAUCUUCCGCUUCUUUUUUGCAAAAUAAAUCUUUUCCAUUUAUAGAGCCUUCAUCUUUUCGUCUAAGGGUAUGUUUGGUAUGAAGGUGAAAAAUAUUUUUUAAUUUUUUCAUGGUUGGUACUUGGUUGGCUUAAAUAUUUGGAAAAUAUUUUUUAAAUCAACUCAUUUUCCUCAAAUUUAAGAAAAAUGACUUUUCUUCCUGUCAAUCUCCUUGAGGCUUGAGCAACUAACGAAUUUAUUUUUGUUUAUUUAAUAUUAGAAUUAUAUCAGUCAUUUUUGUUUAUUUAAAAUGACAAAGGAUAAAAAUUAAAUAUCAUUCCGAAAAAUAGAGGCUUUCCACAAAAUGAUCCAAUAAAAUUUUCAAGAGGUGUUUGGAUGGACUUAAAGUUGGUCAAACUUAUUUUUAAGUCAAUUUUGACUUUUGAAAGUCCUUCGCAGAGCCACAUGUAGUUAAGGAUUUUAAAAACUAUUAUUUUAAAGUCUAUUCAAACGGGCUCUAAGUUAUGACUUUUGACUUAUUUUUAUCAUUUUAGCUUAAAAUUAAAUGGUUAUAAAUAUUUACAAGCUAAUUCAAAUACUUCAAAAGUAUUUAAAAUUUAUUUGGACUUAAAAAUACUUGAAAUAAGUUAAUUUCAACAUGCCAUCGAUGUUUGACCAAAUUUUUUAGAAGUGUUUUAAAUGUAACAACGUCAUUUCAUCAACCAAGCUUAUAAUUAUAGAUAAUCCAAAACCACAACUUCAACUAACACAUAAAAGAAAACAUGUUGACACACACACACACAUAUAUAUAUAUAUAUAUAUAUAUAGCAAAUAGAUUGACAAUAAGCUUUAUCGCCCCGCCGUGGCUCCUUUCAGCUUUAAGCGUACAGGCGUUAAUGCAACACACUCAUUCUCCUUAUUAUAUUCAGUUGGUAUAACCAUAAUAUAUAUAUAUAUAUAUAUAUAUAUAUGGUUCUCUUUCUCAAGCUCAAGGAAACGCCUUUAUUAAAACAUUACAUGAAAAGAAAUAAAUUAAAAUGACACAUAAAAUUAAACCAUAAAUCUCUCACAACUCAUAUUCCUCGCGAUCCAUGAGAAUCCAUUUUCCAUCUUCUUGUUGAACCAUCCCAUUGUGCUUCUCGACCCACCAAGCUCCCUAAUUAAAUAUAUUCUCCCUAAUUUAUGUAUUUUAUUUUUCCUACUUAUCAGAUUCAUUAACACUUCAUAUUUUAAAUAUUAAAUUAACAAAACACAAAUAAAUUGGCAGAUUUUGAAGUAGUAACUUCUUUUCUUUUUUUUUCUUGUGUUGCUGAUGAAAGGGGAAUGUUUGUCUUACUGAAUUUGGUUGGACUUGUGUUUCUUUUCAAUUACAAUUUUUUUUUAUUAUUCAUUUGAGAGUUUAUUGGAUUUAUAUUCAUGCCAAGAAGUUUUAUAUAGAAAGUAAAGCGCUUCUUAGCAAAAAAUAUUUCAUACUUAGAACUCAAACAUAAAUUUUUAAUUUAAUAAAUAAAGAAAUAUUCAUCACUUUAUAAUUCUCGUGAAUAAAGGGGUGUAAUUUUCUAUCUAGAACUCAUGUUGUUUGAUCUUUUUAUCUAUUUUUUUAAAUAAUUAUAUUUAAUAGAAUAUGAGCCAAAAGAACAUUUCAAAUGGACCAACCUAAUGUAUAGGUUUACAUUAAAUAGUGAGCUUCAAAUCCCAAUAUUUGGAAACUUUUUUCAUAGUUUAAAAUGAAUUAUUUAAAGUUUUCAAAAAAUUAUUGAUUUUUUUCAUGUUUACUUUUAAUUUUAUAUUGUCUAAUAGAAUAACUUGAAGAUAACAAAAAAAAUAGUAAAAAAGGGAUUACGUAAAUUUGAAAAACAUAUUUUUAUAUAUUUUUCAUAUUUACUUUUAACGUUACAUUUUUCAAUUUAUAUGAUAGUACAUUUUUAGCUAGUCACAAAAAAAUAUAGUUUUUAUAUUUGAUAGUAAUUUAAUUUUAAAAUAUUGUUUUAGCCUUUAAAUAUACCAUUUUUUUAAAAAAAAAAGUCUUUUUAAAUUACAUGUCCAAUCAAACAAUAUCUAUAAAUUGGGCGGGGAGUGAAUAUUCAAUACUUUCUCCAUUCCAUAUUAGUUGAUCACUUUACUAUAAAUAAUUGUAUCAUAUUAGUUGAUCACAUUACUAAAUCAAAAGAACAUUAAUUAAAUAUUUUCUAUAUUACCCGUUAAUAUUUUUUGAAAUUGUUGACAUUUGUUUGCAAAAUUUCCAAGAAAUUUUUUAAAAGGUAAAUUAGUAAAACUAUCUUCUUAUUUAUAAUUUAUUAAUAUUCAUGAUAAAAACUGAUUAACUAAUAUGAAACGGGGCCGUUUCAAGAUUCAAUUGUUGACAUGUCACGUUCUAAAGAGUCGUUAUUUAUGUGACAGCUUUAACUAAACUAGAAAGCGAAUAAAAGAGUCAUCCGGAAUGCAAGGAGGCUCACCACUGACUCUGAGUGUUCAACUGGAUCAACGAGGCGCUGGAUGCUGAUCCUGGUUACCUGCGUUUGCAUCAUAAGACGAUGCAGGCCAACUGGCAUCAGUACAUUGAAUGUACGAUUAUGCGAGUUGGAAUGCUAAACAACAACUUAAGCUUAGAAAAAAGUAAGAAGGAACACUUACCUUGGCUCUGUACAACUCAUGAAUAACUGAACUCAAUAUAAAGCAAUAAGACACAUGCAAUAUAUAUAUAAAGCUUGUAAAACAGUAUAAACAACUUAGUUCGUUAAAGAUAAAACAAUAACAAACUCAACUUUAUUACUUAUAUAUAAAAGUAAUAUAACUUUUGUGGAAAAUUCUCUAACCGACAACCACCACUAUGAGCCUAAGUGGUGAUACAACGUCUUGCCCACGCUGCCAGAACUGUCCUAUACUUUGCCGUCAUAUAAAACGCUUAACUUAGUGGAUCCACUAGUCUAUGCUAAAAGCAUCUUAAGGAGUCAUCUAAAAAGUAUGAUCCUUUACUACCCAUGAUGGCUACAUGGUUUAUGGAGACUUAAGUUACUAUGAACUCGCAUCCCCAUAUCGGUGCUCAAUACUACUCCCAAAAUAUACUUAGCUCAUAUGUUUGUAAAAGCAACACUCUUUCUUUGAAUUGAGAUAAUUAUUCAAAUAAAGACUCUUGAAAACUUUAAGAAACUUUGCUUUGACUUGCUUCUUAACUUCUAGACUUGACUCUUAACUUCUUUGACUUUGAUCUUAACUUUCCUUGAAUUGGAUUAUGGAUUCAAGGUUCAUGAUCUCAUGUUUAUGGAUGAUUUCAUGAUGUUUAGAUGUACCUUAGAGUGUUAGAAUCAACUAGGAAACAUAGGUACAUCACUUAGAAACUAGUACGAAAAGAUAGGGGAACAAUGGGGUGAACUGGCGUCCUUGGCGCUCUGAGAGGCGUGGGGCGUCAGGCCCCAAAUUUCAGAGGACAAGAUGGGGUGUGUUGGCUGGCGCGGUGCCCCAAGGCCAAAACUUCAGACACUGCUUUGGGGCGCUCUAGCUAGCGUGGCGCCCCACCCUUUUACCCAGAAAAUUAUGACUUUCUCCUUCGUUUUUCAUCUCUAAACCCUUAAAUCUUCCCUAGUUCAACACGAAUGUCCUUCAAGAACUUCACUUUUUAACAUGUGAACAACCCAAAAUCGCUGAAUUGAAACAAGUUGGUGUGUGGAUGAACUAACCCAUCACUAAAAGAACGCUUGACGUUCUUGGCGAAAUCUUGGCUUCUCUCCCUUUCUUUCUUCUUUUCUCUUUCCUCCAAGCCCUAAGCGUAUUCUAAUUUUUCAAAACUGAAUUAAGUUCUGUUUUUAAUGAAUUAGGAAAUUAAUUAGAGAAAAGACUAGUUUGCCCUUCCUUAAAUCCGGAUUGGGACUUUCCUCAAUCCAACAGCCCAACUUCCAAAAGACAUAUCUCACUCAUAUAAUGUCGAAAUCGCUCAAACUUGGUGGCGUUGAAAAGAUCUCUCCAAGGGUUUUCCAGCCAUAUCAAGAAAUGCUCCUAACUCAUCCUGAGCUAGGAGUUAUGGCCGUUUGAAAAUGGCCAAAACUCACUUUCUUAACUUAGACAAAAAUUUCCAGAUUUCCUUAUUCUUUCCAAAAAUCAAUAUUUUCAUAUUUUAAACUCUUUAUAAUCGUUUCUAGGUGCGAGAUGUUACAGCACUAGUGACCACUUUUUGGACGGUAGGAAUACUAGUGUCUCAAUAAUAUAAUUAAAAAUAUACGUAUAUCAUUUACAAUGAUUGGGGGUAUAUUUAUCUUUUUUCCCUUUAAAGAAAGAAUUCUCCUUUCUAUGAACGCCAAUUAGUUUUACAAUGUUGUUGUUUCAUUGUUUGCACAAUUAAUAAAACUGGGCCAGGUCAUAGUUAAUUGAUAAAAAAAAAAAAAAUUACAAAAGUAUAAGCAGAUAUUAACUUUAAUAUUUGUACAUAUUCAAAUGAAUUAAUUGACAUAAAUAUAUUAUUUAAACAAAAUCUAGAUUCACUAAAUUCACAUCAGAAUUACUAGCUCCGCUCUAUAAGUAUAAGUUCAUUUCUCAUUUUGAUUAACUAAGUUACAAUCAAAUAUUUGCAGGUUUCAAGACCAUCUCUGGUCUGAUUUGGGAAGAACGAACCUAGAGUUUAUUUGUAACGACCCGUUUGGUCGUUUUUGAGUACUAGAGCUUUUGAUUUCAUAAAAUACUUUUCGAUAGAUUCUAAUUUGGUAUUUUGGACUAUUUGUAACUACAAUAUGGAAUUAGUGGGGUUGUUUUAAUAAUGAAUUUAGUUGGUGGUUAAAGAAGAUAGCAUUAAAAUUAGUAAGAUUUAAUAUUUAUUAGUUCAUAAUUAGUUACCCUAGAUAAUUAAAAGCACUAACGAGAGAAACACUACCUGCGGCGUCAACCAGAAGCGACUGCCAUCCAGGUAAUGCUUCAUCUCUUCGAUUUCCUUAAGUAAUAUGUAAUGGGUUUAUAUCAAUUGAGUGGAAAUCCUUGGGAUGCAUUAAUUAUCCAUUUGUCUUAUCUAUUGAAUAUGUUGUUUGUCCAAUUUUAGUGAGUGAAUGUUAGGCGAUAAUUAUGAUGAUUAUUAUAGUAUUGUAAUUAGAUGAGACAUUGGAAAGAACGAGUGUGCAUUGGCAGUAGUGUUAGGGUGAAGUGUAGUUAUCAAUAGUAGGAGUGAUAAUUAUUGUUUUAUAAUUAAGGUUUGGAUGGGAAUUUAGAAUGGAUAGUAGCGGCAGGAUUGUGGGAGACAAACUUUUGUGAGUAAUUAUUGGCAAAUGUGUGCCAUUUCAACAUUUAAGAAUGAGGUUAUAGUGUAUUAUCAUAAAUAAGUUAGUUUGCAUUUUAUUGUUUUAGGGUGAUAUUCACAAUCAGUAGCUUAGCUUUAAUGUUCGUUAUUACGACAUAAUUGAAAUGAUGAUAUAUGGGUUUAAGUAAGUAAACUAUAUUAUAUUAUCAUAAAUAAGUUAGUUUGCAUUUUAUUGUUUUAGGGUGAUAUUCACAAUCAGUAGCUUAGCUUUAAUGUUCGUUAUUACGACAUAAUUGAAAUGAUGAUAUAUGGGUUUAAGUAAGUAAACUAUAUUAUAUUAUCAUAAAUAAGUUAGUUUGCAUUUUAUUGUUUUAGGGUGAUAUUCACAAUCAGUAGCUUAGCUUUAAUGUUCGUUAUUACGACAUAAUUGAAAUGAUGAUAUAUGGGUUUAAGUAAGUAAACUAUAUUAUAUUAUCAUAAAUAAGUUAGUUUGCAUUUUAUUGUUUUAGGGUGAUAUUCACAAUCAGUAGCUUAGCUUUAAUGUUCGUUAUUACGACAUAAUUGAAAUGAUGAUAUAUGGGUUUAAGUAAGUAAACUAUAUUAUAUUGAUAUCAUUAGAUUUAUGAUAUUUAAAAGAAUUGAGACUUAACUCUAGACUAGGCAUAUAGUGAUAUGAGGAUCGAUAGAAUUGUUUACUUACGAAUAAUGUACAAUUGAUAGAUCGAGAAACAUUCGAGUGUGAUGUGGAGGCAUGAGUCCUCGUGUGUGUGCUUGAUAUUGUGAUUGAUUACAUACUUGCUUCAACUGUCACUUGUGCAUGUUGUUGUUUCUUAUCACCUGCUAAGUGCUAUAGUUGACUUUAUACUAUUAUUCAUUGUAUAUUAGUUUCUAUUUUGGGUUGGCCGAUGAUACCUACUCAGUACAUGUUGCCCCGUACUGAGCCCUACUUGUAUUUUUCUUUGUUUUCCUUUUUUUUUGGAGUGCAGCGAGUGUACCAGCGAAUUUGACUCGCCCUCAGCUCUAGCCAGUCUCAGUAUAUCAGGUUUAAGGGUGAGCUAUUUAUUCGAGCUUGUGUUGGAUUCUCUUGGCCAUGACUUGAUGUCCAUAGUUUUCGGACACAAAUUACUUUAUUUCAUUUAUUUCGGUGUCUUUGAUUCUCUUAGACUUAGUAUUUAUAGAUUAUAUGUCCUUGAUGUGAUGACUUUCAGAUUUUGGGGAUAAUAUGUAAUAGACUUUAGAGGUUGAUUUGAUUGGUUACUGUAAUAAGUUUUGGAGCUUCCGCAUUUUAUUGUUGUUAUUUGGAGUUGAAUUAUUGGUAUAUGUUGGGGUUUAGAUUCCUUGGUUCGCCCACUUAGGAGGUCAAGUGUGGGUGCCACUCAUGACUCAAUUUGGGUCGUGAUAUUAUUCAUCUUGAUAGGUCCUCUCAUUUUAUUUAUUUUUUAUUUAUACAACAAUCAACCUUACUAUAUUUUAAUGCAUAAAUGAUCUCAAAGAAUUAAACGAUGCAAUAGCAUAAGUUACAAUUCAACUUACUUUAUGUAAUAAUGAAACAUAAAACUUAGCUAAAUUGUGCUCUAACAUAUUUUAAGAUCUAGAAAUAUGUAUAUGUACAUCUUUUAAACAAAGAAAAAAUCCUUUUGGUCAAAAUAUUUGAUCAGAAUUUGGCCAGAAUGAUAUUUUACUUAUGUUAUUUUACUUUUUAAAACAUUUUUACCCUUUUAAUUUUAAUACAUUUUAAUUAAAAAUAGAAAAAAGAUUAGUUUAUUUUAAAAUUAAAAAAAAAAUUAUAAUUUCUAACCAAUUAUUUUACCAAAUUUUCAAGCCAUUUAACAUUGCCCUUAAAUAAAAACAUAAGUUUUCAAAUAUCUUCAUAACUAAUCUCUACAACUAUACUUCUUUUCAGUAUCAGACAAAUUUAUAUCUUUGACCAUUCAUUUUCCAACGCGUUUUCCAAUGCAUCAUGAAUUAUUAUAUUCCCAACAAAUUAAAUUGGAAUAUUAAAAGCUUAUAAGGAAAUAACUAUCACUAUUCAUAGCCAUCCCAUCACUACUCAAUGCUUUCCAUCCUCUCAUAAUUGACUGUAUGAGAAGGACACAAUGAGUCUACAAGAACAUUUUAAAAAAAACACUUUCUCACACCUUAAUUACUUAUUUAUUUUUGAAUUGACACCUAUUUUAAAAAACAAUUAAUACUCCCUCCGUCCACAAUUAUUUAGCAGGUAUACUAAAAAUAGAUGUUUAAGAUUAAUUGUCAAUUUAAACAAUCAAGAAAUAAUUAGUCAAGUUUUUCCAAUUUUGCCCUUAAUGAUAGUGUAGUUUAAUUGAAAAGUUAAGUGAACUUUUGAUAUUCUUGGUAUAGUAGGGUUAUAUUAGUCAAAUUACACCUUAUAUUAAAUUUUCCUUAAGGGAUGUGCAUGACCUUACCCUGACAAACAAUUGUGGACGGAGGGAGUAACAUAGUGAGUUUAUCAUUUUACUCCUAUUAAUUAUGAAAUGAGUGAAUUAAAAACUUAAGAUUUUCAAGAACUUUUAUCUCUUUCAAAGUAAAUAAUUGAGGGUAUAAUAGAUUUUAAAAAAAAUUAUCCUUUCUUAAUUUGUCAAAAUAGACAAAUAUAACUAAAAAAAAAAUAGGCAAAUAAUUAAAAAAAGAGGAAAUAUUAUCUUUUCUUGCGUAUAUGUAUAUCUAAAAAAUUAGUACGGACAGAGGAAUUCAAUUCUUGAUUAUUGAUUAUAAUAUGCCUGUUGUGCUGUAAUUUUCCUAUUUUUAGAAAAAUCACUUUUUGAAAUGUUCUAAGUAUAAAAUAAUUUGAGAAAAUACUUAGAAAAGAAUAGCCACUUAAUUUUUUAAAGAAAUCAAGAAAAAUUAUAAUUUUCAAAGACCUAAACAGAAAAAAUCAUUUGAAAAUAUAAAAAAAGAUUCGUGAUUCAAUUUACACUUCGAGAAAGAUUUAAGCAUUCGAAAUAUCCGCUAACAUGCGAUUGACCUGCGACUUGACUGAAAUACAUUUGACUAUUUUAAAAAUAAAUAACAAAAUAAUGAUUUAACAUAAAAAUAAUAGCUUAUAAUAUAUUUGAUUAAGAAAAUAAUUAAAUAGAUGACGCAUUUUUUAUUUUUUAUUUUUAUUUAAUUAUUUUUAGAGAAGGGAACCCAAAAAUGAAACAUUUAAAUUAAAUUGCAAGUAAAUAGAAUUUUAACACAAUUAGGUUAAUUAGGAAUUGCUUGACUCAUUUUUUUAUUUUUAUUUUUAAAUAAUGAUUUAAACUCAAUUGGUAAAUUUAAACAUGAAAACCAUUUUUUAUUAAUUGAAGAAUAAGAGCUUUGACUAGCCUUUUUUUUUUUUUUUUGAGAAAAUGACUAAGUAAGAAGGGAACAUUUUUAGUUCAUUUGAGAAAAAAUAUUUUAACUUGAAACCACUUAAAAAUAAAAUGUGAUCAAGUGAAUCAGCCUUAAUACAUAUUUUUUAAGAACAAAGAUUUAACUUAAUUAAAAUAUAAAAUUCGACCAAUAUUUGAUUAACAAAAUAAGUGAACACAACAAGUGAAAUGUAUUAAAAUAAGCCAACACAAAGAAAAUGACUCGUUUUUUUGGGGAUUCUAAUUAAGUUAUUUAAAGUUAGAAUUAAAUAAGAUUAGUCAACACAUAAUCAAACACUUAGAGUAGUAAACGAGAUAAUGAAAUUGGGCCCCUUCUUGGGCCAAUUUCGCUGUAUUUUUAAGCCUUAAUUCAAUUCCCGUUUUGCGUAUAUACCGGAUGUAUAUCAGUGUAAAUGAGCAUAUAUAUUAGCUUUUUUCAUGUAUCUCUUGCUUCCGAACACCUGUAUUUCGCCGCAAGCCUGUAUUUUCACAUUUUUUUACCUGUAUAUGAGUGUAUACUGAUGUAUAUCAAUGUUUACAGGCUGUAUCUCAGCCUGUUUUCAGCUUUCUGAGACUUUUGUGUCUGCGUACUGUUUUGUGGAACCUUCCGAAACUCGAACAAAGAUAAAGGCCAACUCAAUAAUGGAUCUUAACUCAACGAAAUGCGGGGAUGGAGUCCCAAGUGGACUUGGAUAAAUUUACAUACAAAAAAAAGAAGAGGAAAACAAAUUAGUAUCACUCUAAUUAAUCAACUACGCAUGUUUGAUAAUUUGACUUUCCAAAUCAGUAACAACACUUCCAGGGGAAUUGAAAAUCACUUUACAAGAUUGACACUCAAGUGAUAAAUACAACAAAUUGCCUCCGUGAUUUGGCAUUAAUAUUUUAACAAGAUUAAGAGAAGAACAUGAUUCAGUACACUCAAGUAAUUCCUAAGGCUACUGUUAAUGUAUAUAAAGUUCAGAUCAAAUUAUUUUUGAUAAUGUAUGAGGGUACUGUAUCAGUUUUUAUGAGGGAAAUGAAACUAGAUACACACUGCCAAGACAUAACUGGAAGAUAACAGUACAACUUCUAGUAUUCAAGUAAUCUUAAAGCUUCGCAUCACUGUAGCACAAUAAAAGAAGAACUCAAACCAAUUGUCUGCUUUCGAACACCCAGUAACAAGUAAAUGCUUAAUUUAAAGUAAAACGAGGCGACACUCAUUGAACAAAUUCCUUUCUAAUGCUUAGUAAAAUUACAAACCAUGAAGAGAUGUAGAAUCAUUUACUCUUGUACAUCUAGAAGAGGCGGCAACAGACCCAUGUAACACCGAAACGAAGUCGAACACUUUUGAGUAUGAACAAACCAGUAAAUAAACUAGUGAGGUAUGACAAGAAUUUGCAUAAUUUGUUAAUAUGAAGGAAUAUGGUUUUAACAUUUUUUACAACUUUAGCGAAAGGAGUGGGAGAAGGGAUAAACAUGAUUCAUCAAUUUCCAGGGCAUUAAUCCAACAAUAAUAUAAUAAUACGACUAAAAAAUAAAGAGAUAGAGAAAGCUACUGAUCUAAGCUAAAUAGAAAGCCAAGGAGAUGAACACUUCGGGAGGUCUGGCCUUUUUCUUUUUUUUUUUUUAAAUAGAGAAAACAACAUUACAAUAGCUAAAUAAAGGAAACCAGCGAUGCUAAAAGACAGCGGAAACAAGAAUAUACAGAUUUAACGACAUCAAAGCAAGCAUACGAAAAGGAAAAUAGCAAAGCGCUUUCAAACAGAGGAGUAGAGGAGCAAUGAUACUAAAUACAUAACACAAAAUUAAAUCAAUAUAAAAACUCAAUCAUAGUAACCGACUAAGAAUAAUGCAUCAUAUCAGCAUAUCACUAACUCGGCACAUGAUAACGGACCAGCCACAGAACAAACAUUUUCCAACAUCGGAAAAUACCACAUCAAAAUAAAUGAAUAGACGAGAAUACUAUGAAGGAGGAAACAUUACCUUUUUUCCGGGCAGCGACUGAGACAACGUGCAGGGGGCAACUUUCCACGACUUUUCUACCACACUAGUGCGGACUCGAGCAGCCAAAAGCAAACGAAUAAAAACAAAACCAACUGACCUUUUGUAUGCUAUUUUCGUAUGUGAAAUCUUGCCCUCAAAAUCCAAUCUUUUUUUUUUUUUAUCAAUUUCGCCCCGCCCUUUAGUGAUUAACAAGGAACUAUUUAUAGAAGGGGAAAUAUGGUUCACGAUUUUUGGGGGGAAAACGGGUGAAGAACGGAUAGGAAUAGGGGCCAAUUCGGAAUUCCCCACAAAUUCCCAAAUUCAAAUUCUUUACCAGGAUUAGAGAACAGUUGGGUUUGGUACGAAAUUUCUUCCAAAAUCCCAGAAAAUCCGGACGAGGCAGCAGCGUGGACAACUUCGAUCAAAUCCACCGCCCUUGCGCUUGACGUGGCGCCAUCUCAUAGCCACAAGGUCGAUUGGACGCUGCUGGCAGGGCUGGAACGAGUUGGUGAGGGCAGAGGAGGGAGACGUGGAAAGUUGCUGGUUCCGUGAACUCCGCUGUGUGAUUUGACUCCGUUUGGUGUCGUUGCUGCUACUGUUCGAGUUACCGCUGUGUGAUUUGACUCCGUUUGGUGCCAUUUACUCGUUGCUUUGAUGUUGCUGCUGCUUUGUCGUUGAAAUUGAAAGGGAAAAAGGGGAUGGGGCCUGGUCAGGGGGAAUUGGGUCGAUUUGGAAUUGUUGUUUGGAUAUGUUGUAUGUGUAUUUUGAAUUGGAAUUGUGGGCUGGAAUAUGGUUGCUGCAUUGUUGUUAGGCUGGAAACUAUUUGUUGUACAGGAAAUUGGAAGUGGGCCUUUAGGAAGUGGCCCAAAAUUAUUCUUAAAAGAUGGGAUAAGCAAUUGACUAAAAAUUGUCAUUAAAUAAUGGAUUUCAAUUAUUGCCGAUUAGAAUUUAAUUGGUGAAUUCGGCUAAAAUUUAAACAAGAUGAGUUAAUACAAAUUCAUUAAUGAGCUUCUUAAUCUUAACGAAAUAAAAAAUAAUUAACUUAAUUAUAAACUAAUUAAUUCAAUUACAAAACUAAUUAACUCAAAAUUAUAACUAUAACUUAAAGUAAAUUAAUAAAAUAUUUAACUAACAUGUAAAAUCUUUUGUGAUGAUUUUCAAAUAUUUAUAAAAUAACGUGAUUGCAAAAAAUAUACAUAUUUAUUAUUAAAAAAUGAUAAAAUUACUUUAAACAUAGCUUGAAAGUAUUUUGAAUUUCAUAAAACUCAUUAAUUCAAAAUUAUAACCAUCUCUAAUAUUUAAAAUAUAAAAUCUUUUUUGAGGCGAUUUUCGAAUAAUCGUAAAAUAUACUAAUUAUAUACAUAAUUAUGUAAAACAUAUAUAUCAUCUAAGAUUUAUGAAAAGUGACAAACUAUUUAAAAAUCUUGCAAACUAUAUUAUUAUUAUUAUUUAUUUAUUUUCAUUAUUAUUACUUUUUUUAGAAAUUUUAUAAAACUAAUAAUUUUAAAUCGUUUGAAAUUGGAGAUGCUCUAAAUGAUUAAUUUAUAUUGUGGAGGGUCAAAAUUGGGUGUCAACAAUGCCCUAUUUUCAUAGAAAUAUUAUUUUAUUCAAUAAGCAUAGUGCAUGUAUAAUAGUAUGUCUUUAUCUUUACAUGGUUUAACUUUUAACAUAUUGGAUCUUAAUUUAUUAAUUGCAUUGUGUCUUAAUCUACUUGUACGAUAUAACAUGGUUUAACUUUAACAUAUUGGAUCUUAAUUUAUUAAUUGUAUCUUAAUCUACUUGUACGAUAUAAUUAAGACAUUGCUAUGUAUAAAUACACAUAGAUAAAAUCUUACCAACAUUAGUUAAUUAGAUCCAAUAUCGCUAUAGGUUUUAAAGACAUUUACAAAAAUAUUAAGUGCUACUUAAAACGUAAAUGUAAUAUUAAUUAUAACUAAAGAUCAUUUUCGGGGGGAAAAUGAGUAUCUUUCUUCCAACUUUUAUUAUUGAUCGAUGGAUCAGUGGAACUAUAUAUUCAUAUUUUAUUUUGUAACUAAUUACUACCUAGUACUAAUUACCAUACAUUCUUAUCUUUAAGUUUUGAAUUCAUUUAACAGAUAUUUACUACUUGUUUAUAAAAAUAUUCAAUUUGAGGAUUGAGCUAGAUGUUUCAAUAUAUUCAAUUCUUCAUUUCUUUGCAUGAAAUAAUUCAUCGAUUAAAUUUAUAACUCGCCUUAUCACAUCAUGCAUGUGAAAUAUAUCUAAUAUAUGAGUAAAUAAUAAAUUUGAUUGAGUUCUUUUAACGAUAAUCAUAAAUGAUGUGCUAAAGGGUCUGAAAUUUAAUUAAGUACAACAUUUAAAUAGCCCUUCUUAAAAACAUGUAUACAAAACAAGUUUAACUUAAGGUGCAGAAAGUACAACUUAAUUACAACACACUCAUAUGCAUUAUUGCAUAUGAUGUGUUCGCAAUAACCCUUUAUUCAAACAUUACAUGGAAUUAAAGAAAUAAAAUUAAAAUAGCAAGUACAUUAAACUCCAAAUUAAAUUAAACCUCAGCCACAACUAUGUCAUACUCCUCUCGAUCAUUGAGAACCCAUUUUCCAUCUUCUUGUUGAAACAUUCCUUUGUUCUUCACAGUCCACCAAUUUGCUGGGACAAGAUACUCACUUUUCAAUGCACCUGAAGAUUUGUUAACAAGCGCGAUAUCACGAUCCACCUCUAGUUUAAAACCUGUUAAAAGUCCUAUACCUUGAGUUCCCGCAACUCCAUGCAUGUAACACUCCAAAUUAUGCCAUGUGAGGAUAUCUCCAGGGAGAUUUAAAUAAGGGGAUUUUGUGGUGUCGAUUAUUAU